rnacentral:rRNA from 1 species
AGCGAAAGCUGGCGGCAGGCUUAACACAUGCAAGUCGAGCGGGCAUCUUCGGAUGUCAGCGGCAGACGGGUGAGUAACACGUGGGAACGUACCCUUCGGUUCGGAACAACUCUGGGAAACUGGAGCUAAUACCGGAUACGCCCUUAUGGGGAAAGGUUUACUGCCGAAGGAUCGGCCCGCGUCUGAUUAGCUAGUUGGUGGGGUAACGGCCUACCAAGGCGACGAUCAGUAGCUGGUCUGAGAGGAUGAUCAGCCACACUGGGACUGAGACACGGCCCAGACUCCUACGGGAGGCAGCAGUGGGGAAUAUUGGACAAUGGGCGCAAGCCUGAUCCAGCCAUGCCGCGUGAGUGAUGAAGGCCUUAGGGUUGUAAAGCUCUUUUGUCCGGGACGAUAAUGACGGUACCGGAAGAAUAAGCCCCGGCUAACUUCGUG